ACUCCUACGGGAGGCAGCAGUGGGGAAUAUUGCGCAAUGGGCGAAAGCCUGACGCAGCAACGCCGCGUGAGGGAUGACGGCCUUCGGGUUGUAAACCUCUUUCAGCAGGGAAGAAGCGAAAGUGACGGUACCUGCAGAAGAAGCACCGGCUAACUACGUGCCAGCAGCCGCGGUAAU
rnacentral:rRNA from 1 species